CGUAGCUACCUGCAGUCGACGGCAGCACCAGGAGAGCUUGCUCUCUGGGUGGCGAGUGGCGGACGGGUGAGGAAUACAUCGGAAUCUACUCUGUCGUGGGGGAUAACGUAGGGAAACUUACGCUAAUACCGCAUACGACCUACGGGUGAAAGCAGGGGACCUUCGGGCCUUGCGCGAUUGAAUGAGCCGAUGUCGGAUUAGCUAGUUGGCGGGGUAAAGGCCCACCAAGGCGACGAUCCGUAGCUGGUCUGAGAGGAUGAUCAGCCACACUGGAACUGAGACACGGUCCAGACUCCUACGGGAGGCAGCAGUGGGGAAUAUUGGACAAUGGGCGCAAGCCUGAUCCAGCCAUACCGCGUGGGUGAAGAAGGCCUUCGGGUUGUAAAGCCCUUUUGUUGGGAAAGAAAUCCAGCUGGCUAAUACCCGGUUGGGAUGACGGUACCCAAAGAAUAAGCACCGGCUAACUUCGUGCCAGCAGCCGCGGUAAUACGAAGGGUGCAAGCGUUACUCGGAAUUACUGGGCGUAAAGCGUGCGUAGGUGGUCGUUUAAGUCCGUUGUGAAAGCCCUGGGCUCAACCUGGGAACUGCAGUGGAUACUGGGCGACUAGAAUGUGGUAGAGGGUAGCGGAAUUCCUGGUGUAGCAGUGAAAUGCGUAGAGAUCAGGAGGAACAUCCAUGGCGAAGGCAGCUACCUGGACCAACAUUGACACUGAGGCACGAAAGCGUGGGGAGCAAACAGGAUUAGAUACCCUGGUAGUCCACGCCCUAAACGAUGCGAACUGGAUGUUGGGUGCAAUUUGGCACGCAGUAUCGAAGCUAACGCGUUAAGUUCGCCGCCUGGGGAGUACGGUCGCAAGACUGAAACUCAAAGGAAUUGACGGGGGCCCGCACAACCGGUGGAGUAUGUGGUUUAUUCAAUGCACCGCGAGAACCUUACCUGGCCUUGCAUGUCGAAACUUUCCAAAAUGGAUUGGUGCCUCCGAAACUCGAACCAGGGGCUGCAUGCUGUCCCCGCUCCGUCGGGAAUGUUGGUUAAUUCCGCACAAGCCACCCUUGCCUUAGUGCCCCGCUUAUGGGUGGACUCUUAGGAAACC
rnacentral:rRNA from 1 species